rnacentral:rRNA from 1 species
GAUCAUGGCUCAGGAUGAACGCUAGCUACAGGCUUAACACAUGCAAGUCGAGGGGCAGCAUGGUCUUAGCUUGCUAAGGCCGAUGGCGACCGGCGCACGGGUGAGUAACACGUAUCCAACCUGCCGUCUACUCUUGGACAGCCUUCUGAAAGGAAGAUUAAUACAAGAUGGCAUCAUGAGUUACACAUGUACACNUGUAAGUAAGUACGUU